rnacentral:lncRNA from 1 species
AAUGAUGCAUGAAGUGUUUAUGCAUAUGCUUGUUUUUUAUUUCAAAGGAACUCGAGGGUUUUAUUUGCAAACUUUGAAAUAUUUAAGCAUUUUGAUCAUAUAUGAGAAUAUCUCAUAAGAUACAUCAGGUGAAAUUUUUUUCCCGGUUUUUCCAUGUUUGAAAUUUUUUGCAAAUAAACUCCUUUGAGUUCCUUGAAAAUUUUCUUAUUAUCUGAUGAUAUGGAUGCGGAUGAAUGCAUGAAUGUAUGAAUGCAACAAUCACACUCAAGGAUCAAGCAAAGCACACCAAACAAAGGUCAUGGGAAAGCUCAAUGU